rnacentral:rRNA from 1 species
AUGAACGCUGGCGGCGUGCCUAAUACAUGCAAGUCGAGCGAACGGACGAGAAGCUUGCUUCUCUGAUGUUAGCGGCGGACGGGUGAGUAACACGUGGAUAACCUACCUAUAAGACUGGGAUAACUUCGGGAAACCGUAGCUAAUACCGGAUAAUAUUUUGAACCGCAUGGUUCAAAAGUGAAAGACGGUCUUGCUGUCACUUAUAGAUGGAUCCGCGCUGCAUUAGCUAGUUGGUAAGGUAACGGCUUACCAAGGCAACGAUGCAUAGCCGACCUGAGAGGGUGAUCGGCCACACUGGACCUGAGACACGGUCCAGACUCCUACGGGAGGCAGCAGUAGGGAAUCUUCCGCAAUGGGCGAAAGCCUGACGGAGCAACGCCGCGUGAGUGAUGAAGGUCUUCGGAUCGUAAAACUCUGUUAUUAGGGAAGAACAUAUGUGUAAGUAACUGUGCACAUCUUGACGGUACCUAAUCAGAAAGCCACGGCUAACUACGU